GACGAACGCUGGCGGCGUGCUUAACACAUGCAAGUCGAACGGAAAGGCCCUGCUUUUGUGGGGUGCUCGAGUGGCGAACGGGUGAGUAACACGUGAGUAACCUGCCUUGACUUUGGGAUAACUUCAGGAAACUGGGGCUAAUACCGGAUAGGAGCUCCUGCUGCAUGGUGGGGGUUGGAAAGUUUCGGCGGUUGGGGAUGGACUCGCGGCUUAUCAGCUUGUUGGUGGGGUAGUGGCUUACCAAGGCUUUGACGGGUAGCCGGCCUGAGAGGGUGACCGGCCACAUUGGGACUGAGAUACAGCCCAGACUCCUACGGGAGGCAGCAGUGGGGAAUAUUGCACAAUGGGCGGAAGCCUGAUGCAGCAACGCCGCGUGCGGGAUGACGGCCUUCGGGUUGUAAACCGCUUUCGCCUGUGACGAAGCGUGAGUGACGGUAAUGGGUAAAGAAGCACCGGCUAACUACGUG
rnacentral:rRNA from 1 species